rnacentral:rRNA from 1 species
GAUGAACGCUAGCGGGAGGCUUAACACAUGCAAGUCGAGGGGUAGGGAAGCAAUUCCCGAGACCGGCGGACGGGUGCGUAACGCGUAUGCAACUUGCCUUAUACAGGGGGAUAGCCCGUGGAAACGCGGAUUAAUACCCCAUAUGUCAUUUGGGUCGCAUGGUCUGGAUGAUAAAGCUGAGGUGGUAUAAGAUGGGCAUGCGUCUGAUUAGCUUGUUGGUAAGGUAACGGCUUACCAAGGCGACGAUCAGUAGGGGUUCUGAGAGGAUAAUCCCCCACACUGGUACUGAGACACGGACCAGACUCCUACGGGAGGCUG